rnacentral:misc_RNA from 1 species
GAUGAAGAACGUAGUGAAAUGCGAUAAGUAAUGUGAAUUGCAGAAUUCAGUGAAUCAUCGAAUCUUUGAACGCACAUUGCGCCCCCUGGUAUUCCGGGGGGCAUGCCUGUCCGAGCGUCAUUACAACCCUCAAGCUCAGCUUGGUGUUGGGCCCCGCCGCCGCGGCGGGCCCUAAAGUCAGUGGCGGUGCCGUCCGGCUCCGAGCGUAGUAAUUCUUCUCGCUCUGGAGGUCCGGUCGUGUGCUCGCCAGCAACCCCCAAUUUUUUUCAGGUUGACCUCGGAUCAGGUAGGGAUACCCGCUGAACUUAAGCAUAUCAAUAAGCGGAGGA